AUUUAAGUAGCUUAAAUUUAAAGCUUGAUAUUGAAGAUAUCACUAUAGGGUCUCCUCUUAAAUA
rnacentral:tRNA from 1 species